CCGAAGUCGCCGCCAGAGGCGCCACGAACUACGCGGGCGUCGCGGGCGCGGAGCAGACGAAGACUUUGCGACAGACAGGUUUCUACGGUCUGCGUGUUUUCUGAAGAGAAAAUGAACAGGAGAAGGAAUCCACGCAACCCACGGCAGAAUGACCAGCUCAGCCCGAGCCGCGAAGACUUGAGACGCCUGCUGGUGGGCAUAAUCAUCAUCUUGGAGGCAAUACACCAGUUGCACCAAAUUUUGAUUGAACUCCUCCAGCGUGCCCUGAGGAUGAUGGUGUAGACAUGGUCGGCGAGACGCAUACCUCCGCCAUGUCGCUUUUACUUUUGCUCCCAUUUUUUUUAAUGCAAAAAAUCUUGCUGAGUUA